rnacentral:rRNA from 1 species
GGACCGUACUAAGGUAGCAUAAUCAAUUGGCUUUUAAUUGGAGUCUGGAAUGAACGGGAAAUUGGAGUUUAACUUUCUUAAAUGAAUUUUAUUGAACUUACUAUAAAAGUGAAAAAGCUUUUUAAUGAAAAAAGACGAGAAGACCCUUGGAGCUUAGUAAAUUUUGUUGGGGCGACAUUAAAAAUGAAACUUUUAUAAUUUUAAUUAUCAACUUUUAGUUUUAAUUUAUAAGCUACCCAAGGGAUAACAGCAUAAUUCUUAUGAGAUUGUGACCUCGAUGUUGGACUAGGAAAGAUAAUAACUAGUAGUUAUUAUUUUAAUGUUCUGUUCGAACUUUAUUCUCCU